rnacentral:rRNA from 1 species
GUGCUAAGGUAGCAAAAUCAUUUGUUUUUUUAUUGAGAACUGGAAUGAAAGACUGAACAGGGGUGUAUUUAUCUCUAUUCGUUAUAUUUAAAUUUAUAUUUUGAUGUAAAAAUACAUAAAUGUAUAAAAGGGACGAUAAGACCCUAAAAGCUUUAUUGUUUAUAUUUUUUAUAUAUUGUUUUUAACACAUAAUUUUAAUUAUAUUUUAACUGGGGUAGUUGUAUUUUAUAAUAAAUAUUUUAUUAAACGUAUUGUAAAAUAGGUUCUUUAAAUUAGGAAAAUUAGUUUUAGUUACUUUAGGGAUAACAGCAUGAUAAUAAUUGGGAGAUCCUAUUUAUAUUACUGAUUUUGACCUCGAUGUUGAAUUAAAUUUCUUUGAAGCGCAGUAGCUACAAUUGAAAGUUUGUUCAACUUUUAAAAUUUUACAUGAUC